UCGAGACGCCGUGAUUCGAAAAGGCCCGGGACGGAUAAACUGGUCGCGGACCGUCAUCGGGCGCAGCCCCCGGAGGCGUGCCGCCAUGUUCAGCCAGCAGCCGCUGCAACCCCAGGGAG
rnacentral:sRNA from 1 species